AUGAGUGCUGCCAGAGAGUCUCACCUGCAUGUGGUGAAGUGUUAAGCCUCUCCAGACGAUGAUCUGGGAUCUAGCAAUUGGGAGGCAGCAGACUUGGAUAAUGAAGAAAGAAAACAACAGUUCUUGAGACUUACGGGUGCAGGAAAGAAAGAACAUACUGGCUGUCUUGUUAUAGGAGAUCACAAAUCAACAUCUCACUUCCGAACAGGGGAGGAAGACAAGAAAAUUAAUGAAGAACUGGAGUCUCAGUAUCAGCAAAGUAUGGACAAUAAAUUAUCAGGAAGAUAUUGGCGACAUUGUGGACUUGGCUUCAGUGAGGUAGAAGAUCAUGAUGGAGAAGGUGAUGUGGCUGGAGAUGAUGAUGACGAUGACGAUGAUUCACUUGAUCCUGAAAGUCCAGAUGAUUCUGAAAGAGAUUCAGAGUCAGAGAAAGAAGAAUCUGCUGAAGAACUCCAAGCUGCUGAGCACCCUGAUGAAGUGGAGGAUCCCAGAAACAAAAAAAUGCAAAAAGCAAUUAUAAAAUGAUGUUUUUUAAUCCAGUGGUUCAUAACUCCCAAACGCUUAGUCUUUGUAUUAAAAGUAAGCCUUAUUGUUAUAAUGCGCAGUGGAGGACUGCUUAUAGAGCACAGACCUUUGUAUUAUAA